rnacentral:rRNA from 1 species
CAUGUCUUUUUGAGUUAAUUUUAAAGUCUGACCUGCCCAAUGAAUAUUUUUGAAUGGCCGCAGUAUCCUAACUGUGCAAAGGUAGCAUAAUCAUUAGUCUUUUAAUUGAAGGCUGGUAUGAACGGUUGGACGAGGUAUAAGCUGUUUCAUAUAAAUUUAUUAUAGAAUUUUAUAUUUUAGUCAAAAAGCUAAAAUUUUAUUAAAAGACGAGAAGACCCUAUAAAUCUUUAUAUUUUUUGUUAUAUUAAUUUUUUGGAUAUAUUUUAUUUUUAUAAUGGAAAAUAUUUUGUUGGGGUGAUGUUAAAAUUUAAUAAACUUUUAAUUUUAAUAAAUCAUUAAUUUAUGAUUAAUUGAUCCGUUAAUAACGAUUAUAAGAUUAAGUUACUUUAGGGAUAACAGCGUAAUUUUUUUGGAGAGUUCAUAUCGAUAAAAAAGUUUGCGACCUCGAUGUUGGAUUAAGAUAUA